GGGAUCACUAGUGGCUACUACUGCUAGUGAUGCUAAGAGCACUACAUACAAGAAGAAUAUAACAAGACUGUACUAACAGUUAAAGUCUAGGGGUGUGAUACUAAAGAAGCAAGAGAUUUAU